rnacentral:rRNA from 1 species
ACGUAGUGGCAGACGGGUGAGUAACGCAUAGGAAUCUACCUAGUAGUAUAGGAUAGCCACUAGAAGUGGUGGGUAAUACUGUAUAAUCCCUGCGGGGGAAAGAUUUAUCGCUACAUGAUGAGCCUAUGUUAGAUUAGCUAGUUGGUGGGGUAAUGGCCUACCAAGGCAGUGAUCUAUAGCUGGUCUGAGAGGAUGAUCAGCCACACUGGAACUGAGACACGGUCCAGACUCCUACGGGAGGCAGCAGUGGGGAAUAUUGGACAAUGGGCGCAAGCCUGAUCCAGCUAUGCCGCGUGAGUGAGGAAGGCCUUAGGGUUGUAAAACUCUUUCAGUGGGGAAGAUAAUGACGGUACCCACAGAAGAAGUCCCGGCAAACUCCGUGCCAGCAGCCGCGGUAAUACGGAGGGGGCAAGCGUUGUUCGGAAUUAUUGGGCGUAAAGGGCAUGUAGGUGGUUUGGUAAGUUAAAGGUGAAAUGCCAGGGCUUAACCCUGGAGCUGCUUUUAAUACUGC